rnacentral:sRNA from 1 species
GCCGGCUGCAGUAGCGAAUGCCUGUAAUCCCAGCAGCUUGGGAGGCUGAGGCAGGAGGAUCACAAGUUCAAAGCCAGCCUCAGCAAAAGCGAGGCCCUAAGCAACUCAGUGAUACCCUGUUUCUA